UAGAUCAGGCUGGCCUCGAACUCAGAAAUCCGCCUGCCUCUGCCUCCCAAGUGCUGAGAUUAAAGGCAUGCACCACCACCGCCCGGCUGUUACUUCCUUCUUGAUCCCAGACUUUCCCACCAGCAACAGAGACAGGCAGGAAAAGAGCACCUGGGAGAAGCUUUCCUACUGCCGAUGCCACAGCAGCACAAGACCGUGUUUCCCGGCAGCCCGCUUAUCUGGCCAAAGACGGUUUCCUCCUCACACAAUCACAGAGGACCUGUGUGCAAGUGAAAGUAUUGUUUCUGCGCGGCCCAUGGCAUGCCGUCUUUCCCACCGGUUACAGUUCCUCUGCUAGACAAACAGGAAUGUUCUGCUCUGGACUAGGUGAAACUGACUAGCUGCUUCUGUCAGAGCAUUUAAUUGUAUCAAUCAGAAUGGAUAGAACACAUCACCACGAUUCCUCCAAAGAUGGAUUCAAGUCCCCUCAAACCAGGAGCCAACAUUAAGUCCUUCAUUGACUUCGUCAGUUUUUCUGCUGCAAUGAUAAGAAGAAUAGCUAACACCAUGGGAAGGCGAUUCUCCGAAGCUCACGGAAUCUGGGGAUUCACUCAUCGUCGUAUAAACACACCAUGUGGGUUAAAACGAGGACAAAUCCAGAUACUCACCAUUAGGGAAUGUCAAUGCAUUUCAACUGCUUGGCCCCACAAGGUCAAAACACAGCCACAGUGUCUUCUCACAAUCCUCCAGGCUCUUCCCAGAUUACAGAGAGUGAUCUGGUCCUAUUCAAGAGGACAGAGUAUCCACCAGGCUCUGUCAAAGCUGCUCAGCAAAGACCAGAUAACCUCAGUUUGCUGUGAAGGAUAGCAGGGGUUGCUCCCGGGGUACCUGGUCCUCCUGUGUGAAAUGGGUAUGUGCUCUUUAUCCUCACAGCCAGGAAACUGGACUAACAACAGUGCAUAAAACUA